GGCACGGGCGGCAGCGCCGCAGGGGGAGGCGGCGUUGGGCGCGGCGCUGAGGUGAAGGGCGGUGGCGGGGCAGGCCGGGGCCGGAGGACAGCUUCUGGGCUGAGUCCGAACUGGUCGGAAGAAUGGACAGAAGUGGCACCUGUGGGGGUGGUUUCCCUCCUCAGACUGAAUCUGUUUCAGUAUUUUCUCCCUGACUUUUGAGCUUCAGUUUCAGCACAAGCACCUUUUUGUCUCUCUGGUGUAAGUCUGGAGACUGUGGUUUUGCAUAGAAAACACGAGGAUUGCCUGCCAACGGAGAACGAGUAGCACACUGCAUUGCUUUACUGUUCAAGGUGAAAGCGUUGGAAUGAGCAAUGCUGUGGAGCGUGCUUUGCUUUCAUAUGACACUGGAUAAAGAGACUAAGGAUGGAGGAUACCAGAUCCACUUUUUUUUUUUCCUGCAAAUCCUGACAGCUACUUGCACUCAAGUGGAACAACUGCUGUUGGCCAAUGACAUCCCCUUAACACUGGUGACUGCUGAAAUGACUUCCGUGGCUGACUAGGAGUCCCCCAAAGAACGAAGAAUCAGGACCCGCAAAUUAAAACUAGGCCACCUAUACUGAAGAGUAAAGCAUUGCUACCUUGAGGAAGGCAAUCCUAAAAUUUACGUUACAGAUACAUUUUAAUAUUUUGCUGUUGUUGGUUUUUGUUGUUUUUAAAUACAUUAUUCAUCAAAAUACUUUCACAGGCUCUUUAAAGAAACCUGCUUCUAAAUAGCAACAUAGGAUCAUAUCUAUAGCUCAUGUUAACAUGUUUUAAAAAGUAGUUAGGAGCAUUCAUAUAGGCUAUGCUGUCUCUAACCAUUACUUGACAUAUGAAUUUUAAUACUUAGGAGUCAGACUGUCACAAACCAAACGCAUGUGAAGCACAAACAAGAUAUAUGUUCAAACCAUUACCAACUCGACUUUGCUUUUGCAAAUAAGCUGGAGACCAUUUUAAAAUACUUUUACAAACAAAGCAAGAAAGACAAAUCUAUUGAAGAAAAAAAUACUGAAACCAAAAAGUGAGUAAAUUUCUAUUUUAAAUAGUAAUUACUUACCUCCUUCUGAAGUCAGAGGUAGGGAUUUUCCAGCUGAUUCAUAGGAGAGAAUUCUACAU